rnacentral:rRNA from 1 species
UGCAUAUCAAUAAGCGGAGGAAAAGAAACCAACCGGGAUUGCCUUAGUAACGGCGAGUGAAGCGGCAAAAGCUCAAAUUUGAAAUCUGGUACCUUCGGUGCCCGAGUUGUAAUUUGGAGAGGGCAACUUUGGGGCCGUUCCUUGUCUAUGUUCCUUGGAACAGGACGUCAUAGAGGGUGAGAAUCCCGUGUGGCGAGGAGUGCGGUUCUUUGUAAAGUGCCUUCGAAGAGUCGAGUUGUUUGGGAAUGCAGCUCUAAGUGGGUGGUAAAUUCCAUCUAAAGCUAAAUAUUGGCGAGAGACCGAUAGCGAACAAGUACAGUGAUGGAAAGAUGAAAAGAACUUUGAAAAGAGAGUGAAAAAGUACGUGAAAUUGUUGAAAGGGAAGGGCAUUUGAUCAGACAUGGUGUUUUGUGCCCUCUGCUCCUUGUGGGUAGGGGAAUCUCGCAUUUCACUGGGCCAGCAUCAGUUUUGGUGGCAGGAUAAAUCCAUAGGAAUGUAGCUUGCCUCGGUAAGUAUUAUAGCCUGUGGGAAUACUGCCAGCUGGGACUGAGGACUGCGACGUAAGUCAAG